AUACAAUGCAGGAGAGAUCCCAUGCUCAUGAAAGUAGUUCUCCUAGGGUGUGAAGCCUGUUCCCUGUACUCUAGGCAGGCUGACUCCUAUAAGAUUCCCCAAAUGCGGGAAACUUUACUGCACAAUUUUGUGGUAAUGGGGGAUUGUUUUUUCACUUCCUCUCU
rnacentral:snRNA from 14 species